AACUCGUGGUAAUAAUAAGGCAGAACGCUCGCGCUAACAGCAGGGUGUUGAACGCACCACAGUUUCAGUAAAAAACAAAAACAAAAACGUGUUGUUACGUUUUGUCGAGGCUGAACGUGGCCCUGGACAAUGUGAUGUAUGACGUGUAAAGCCCCGCCAUUUCUGGAACUAAAGGGGAUUGUUAUGCGUUGCUCCCAGGUUGUGACCUUUCUUAACUGCAUAUGGUUGUGACCCAUGGGUGAUAUUUGAAUUAUCAUAACCAGGGUUAUAUAGCUACCCAUGUUGACUGGCUUGGUUUGAAUUUCCAAAAGAAGGGUUGAUAGGCCUACUGGUCUGACAACCCUGGUCAGCGGUGUAAAAGGGGCAAUCCUAUUGGAGUCACGUCCAAAGCGAAGACGGGUGAAGGGGCACUAAAGUAGUAGCAAAAUAUCAAACUAUUUGAAUUGUGAAGCCAGUCAUAGCCUACUCUGGACUCUCAACAAACCGUAAGACAGUUAACAACGUGAUUUAAAUAAAGCAACCGUUUUCAAGUGUUGCUAAUGAUAUAAACCGCUUUGUUUUUGUAGGAAGAAUGUAGCAAGCUAGCAGCGAUGGAGGGAGGUGAUAACUUCUGGUGCAGAGGGAUAUACCAUGACAUGGAUAUUGACAAAGGCACCUCCAUAAAAGACAGGAGAAUAAAGAGCUUCAACGUCAAAUAACAUAUAUCCCACACGAACGGAUUGAAGAGAUGAUCCUAGAGGUGGCAUCUCAAAUUCGAGGAGUUAAGAGUGAACAAGAAAGGUGACAGCACAGAUCCCUGAGUCAACCCUUGGGCCAGACAGAGGCCGUACCCUCCCUUGCGGCUCCACAACCACCUUGUGAGGAGACGCGAUGACCAUGAAAUCCUUAUCUCCCUCACUUCAGCACAAGCAGAUAUUGCUACACAGCGGCAUGGCUGCUACAGUAAAGUAAGUAGCAGUCGGAGUUUAUCUGUCUCCAAAGGGAUGAAUAAACUGGUUUGGU